CGUAGGGUGCGAGCGUUAAUCGGAAUUACUGGGCGUAAAGCGUGCGCAGGCGGUUUUGUAAGACAGGCGUGAAAUCCCCGGGCUCAACCUGGGAACUGCGUUUGUGACUGCAAGGCUAGAGUAUGGCAGAGGGGGUGGAAUUCCACGUGUAGCAGUGAAAUGCGUAGAGAUGUGGAGGAACACCGAUGGCGAAGGCAGCCCCCCUGGGCCAAUACUGACGCUCAUGCACGAAAGCGUGGGUAGCAAACAGGAUUAGAUACCCUGGUAGUCCACGCCCUAAACGAUGUCAACUAGGUGUUGGGUGGGUAAAACCAUUUAGUACCGGAGCUAACGCGUGAAGUUGACCGCCUGGGGAGUACGGCCGCAAGGUUA
rnacentral:rRNA from 1 species